rfam:Malassezia sympodialis ATCC 42132 genomic scaffold, msy_sf_19
CAGAGCGUGGUCUAGUGGUUAGGACUCCUCAUUUACACGUAAGUGAUCUGAGGCGAUCCCCGGUUCGAUCCCGGGCGUUCUGA